UAUUAAAAGCAAUAGUUACGCAUGGGGAUCCCAGGAUUGCCGUUAUAUAUGAGAAGUGAAGUUUUGUACUCAUCUUUCUAACAGCUGAGAUAAUAUUUUCAUCUAAUAAUAGGACAGAAAGAGCCGUAACUGGUUUAAUAAGAAGUGAUCCAAGUUCACUUGGGGCUGAUCUCACAAUUGAGUGACCAUGUAAUGGGGUACUCCUUGAAAGCUGGAAUGGUUAAGAAUUGUAGUUGGAUCCUGUCACCAGGUGGAGAAUUCAGCAAGUUUCCUGCCUAACUGCUUUGCAUGGUACCGAAACUGUUAAUUCCCUGAAACUGUUAAUUCCUCAGGUAUUGAUAUUUGGCAGAAGACAAGUAGUGUUGAAUACGAGUAAAGCAAAGGUAAAGAGAUUUUAAUACUGAAGAAAUAAUGCAGUUUUAUAAUUUCUCAAACAGAUGAUUAUCAAAUCUGUUGAGACAUAGAAGUCAUGGAAAAUGAUUCUUUGGAAGAUAGGGUGAGAAUUUCUGCCUAGGGAUGAUAAUUUAACUCAUUAAUUUAAUCCAAAUCCUUCAAUCAUUUUUGACUGUGCAUUAUGGUUGGAGCUACUGAGAAAAAAGAUACAGCCCCUGCCUGAAGGUGCAUUUGAUUGAAGCGGGAGGUGUUACAUAACUCUGAGUACCAUGAUAAAGGCUGUGAUGGAAAGACCCUUGGAACCAGUGACUGGAGCGAGUUGUGACCCUGGGGUUUCUGUAGCCACUGUGGGCAGAGAGCAUGCACUGCAGAGGGUAUGGCAGGGCAGCACGUGUGGAAGCACUGGGAGUGAGAAGGAAGAGACUGCUGUGUGUUGUUAUCUAUAUCAGGUUAACAGUCAGGGUCCUUCACAAGCUGUUCAGUUCAGCUGAGAAGCAGGCAGUUGUGUGGGUUUUAAAUUGUUUCUGCUUCUCCACAGGAAGGCCUCACACCACUUAUGCUUGCUCUAAGGGAAAACAGAAUGGAAGCGGCAGCAUUGUUAAAAAAGACAGAAAGAAAGAAUGUGGUGAAUGAGCUGGAAAGAAAAAAUUCUCAAUGUGAAGAAAAGGAAUCUUCAAAUUCUGACAAUAGCCCUCCAGUGGUUGCAAGUGAAUCUGAGACCUCUUUAACACGAG